rnacentral:rRNA from 1 species
GACGAACGCUGGCGGCGUGCUUAACACAUGCAAGUCGAACGGAAAGGCCUCUUUCGGGGGGUACUCGAGUGGCGAACGGGUGAGUAACACGUGAGUAACCUGCCCUUGACUUUGGGAUAACUUCAGUAAACUGGGGCUAAUACCGGAUAGGAGCUCCUGCUGCAUGGUGGGGGUUGGAAAGUUUCGGCGGUUGGGGAUGGACUCGCGGCUUAUCAGCUUGUUGGUGGGGUAGUGGCUUACCAAGGCUUUGACGGGUAGCCGGCCUGAGAGGGUGACCGGCCACAUUGGGACUGAGAUACGGCCCAGACUCCUACGGGAGGCAGCAGUGGGGAAUAUUGCACAAUGGGUGGAAGCCGGAUGCAGCAACGCCGUGGGCGGGAUGACGGCCUUCGGGUUGUAAACCGCUUUCGCUCAUGACGAAGCUUUGUGUGACGGUAGUGGGUAAAGAAGCACCGGCUAACUACGUG